rfam:Drosophila melanogaster chromosome 2L.
UGUUUUAUUACGUAGGCAUAAUUCCAAUGGGCAUUAUGAAUUGUGCAUGCCACCUACGGACGGUAGGUGGUAUCUUUAGAAGAUUUUA